rnacentral:rRNA from 1 species
UACGUAGGGUGCGAGCGUUUGUCCGGAAUUAUUGGGCGUAAAGAGCUCGUAGGCGGUCUGUCGCGUCGGCUGUGAAAUCCCGAGGCUCAACCUCGGGUCUGCAGUCGAUACGGGCAACUAGAGUAUUGCAGGGGAGACUGGAAAUUCCUGGUGUAGCGGUGAAAUGCGCAGAGUAUCAGGAGGAACACCGGUGGCGAAGGCGGGUCUCUGGGCAAUAACUGACGCUGAGGAGCGAAAGCGUGGGGAGCGAACAGG